rnacentral:lncRNA from 1 species
AUCAGGAAAACUAAAACAUUCAUUCGAUCUAUUCAUUCAUGAACUAAAUACACCAAUAUAGGAACAUUGACAACCUCCAUAUAUAAAAUUUCAAAAUGAUCCCAAAAACAUAAAAAGUUUAAACAGACAAAUUUUUAUAUAAGUCAGAAUGAAAGCAGGAAGAACACCUAGGCACCACCUUCGUCUUCGGAGUUGAGCAAAGUUGGAUCCAGUUAAGCAGCAGACAGUUUUUCUUUGCCUAUCUCUCGGCAGUCUUCGUAGCCUUCCG